AAAGAAAACACCUAUAUCGAAUUGAUGUCUUCAGUUCCUUCUUACUAGGGAAACCGUCGUGGUAUCACUUAACCAGAGAAAUGAAGGUAUCUGUUGAUUCUGUCUUCAAUUUGGCAUUAGAUGAAAGUCAGCAAUGCAGGAGCUGCUCACAAUCAAGCUUUCAAUUCCAGCUUAACUUCUAAUCUUUAAAUGCAAGACUGUGCAAAUCUCAUUUUGGCCUCAGACACCAAGAAGCUGCCUCUUUAAAGAAGCCUAAAAAUGUCAACUAAUCAAUGUACAAUAUGCAGUUUGAAAAUGAACUAUUAAUACAAAGACAGAGCAAAUGAAAUCUAAAAGGCUGGGGGUAAGACAGAAUACCA
rnacentral:lncRNA from 1 species